UGCCUGGUCCAUGGAGCUCUGUUACCACAUCCCCAGGAAAUGAUGUCGUUAUUUAUGACCAAACUCGGAAACCGUAGACAGAAUUCUGAGAGUGACAAUGAAGAGAUACUUAAGUAAGCAUAAGCUCUCCUGGAUGACUCUUUCAAGCUGAGAACAGCCCAGCACUACAGCCAUGAUCAUUGUUCAGCCGCUGUUUCCUCUUCCUUUUCUCUUUUUUUAUUAAGGAAAGUGUCAAACAUGCAGAACAGCAGGGUGGGAAGAACAGUGAAGCCCAUGUACCCAUCACUCAGCUUCAGCAAAUAGUGGCUUGUUUCAGCCACUCUAUUCAGUAGACACUUUCCA